UACGAAGGUCCCAAGCGUUAUCCGGAUUAUUGGGUUUAAAGGGUGCGUAGGCGGGUUAUUAAGUCAGUGGUGAAAGCCUUCAGCUCAACUGAAGAAUUGCCAUUGAUACUGAUGAGCUUGAGUAGAUUUGAGGGCGGGCGGAAUGUGUCGUGUAGCGGUGAAAUGCUUAGAUAUGACAUAGAACACCAAUUGCGAAGGCAGCUUACUACCCGAAUAUUGACACUGAGGCACGAAAGCGUGGGAUCAAACAGGA
rnacentral:rRNA from 1 species